rnacentral:rRNA from 1 species
UACGUAGGGCGCAAGCGUUGUCCGGAAUUAUUGGCGUAAAGAGCUCGUAGGCGGCCUGUUGCGUCCGCUGUGAAAUCCCGGGGCUCAACCCCGGGCCUGCAGUGGAUACGGGCUGGCUAGAGGCAGGCAGGGGAGAACGGAAUUCCUGGUGUAGCGGUGAAAUGCGCAGAUAUCAGGAGGAACACCGGUGGCGAAGGCGGUUCUCUGGGCCUGUACUGACGCUGAGGAGCGAAAGCGUGGGGAGCGAACAGG